UAAGUGUGUAUUAGUACAUGCUAACGAUAUUCAAAAAGCACAUACCUCAAAGAAAACGAUGACGCGAGUUAUCGUCUCUAACGUUCGAGGACUACAAAAAACACUCGGAUUGUAGGCAACAGUUUACUUCCUGGGAUUAGUGACGUAGAUAAGACCAACAUUAUCAUAGUUCAGCCCUCUCUGCUUUGCUUGGGUACGCCCUCAAAGACGAGGGUGGGGUGGGGAGCGCCGAGUCAGAAGAGAGCUAAAAUGGCGGAGGUUGGGAGUCCCUGCUUUGACUCUGUUUGCAAACUCUUGUUUCAUUGUUUAAGCGAUUAAAUCUCUCGAGUAGACGCUGUCUCUUUAGAUGCGAGGGCAAAAUAGCACUUUAUGGACUUCCACAGAGGACAUCAUGUUUAAUACGGUUCCGGAAAAAUCCAGUCAGAAGUUGUUCACGGAGUUUUCACAAUAACUGCUUCUCAUGAACCGAAGCUGGAUUUGCGCGACGUCUCCUCUUGAAAGUUGGAUUACUGUGCACUUCUGGAUCACAGACUAUUCGCAGCUGUACACAUCCUUCUACACUGUAUGCAAACAUGCAACAUCAUUACACACAGUACAAGGAGUCAGACUGGCAUAUGAGGAGCAAAGGAACCCAGGCAGUAGCAUCGUUUCACAAUGUUUCCAUCAUCAUCAUCAGUGGAUGCCUUUGCCGUCCGUAGCCUGAGAUUUCAGAUUUGCAGCAAAAAAAAUUGAUUUUCUCAUUUAUUGGAAUGCUGUGCAGGUAUUUGUACCUUGCAGCCAUCCAUUACAAUGUCACCAAGCCGUAACAAAAGCAGGAGAGGGAAAGUACAAGGCUAUGUUCCCAAAACACACAAGUGACACACCAUAAGCAUUAUGUGGAGGAUGUGAUCAGGCUUGUGUUUGAUGAGGUAUUUGAAGAUAAGCUGAAGGAAACCCCGAUUCCAAUGGACCUGGCAUCACAGUUUGAGAGACCUUCAAAGGAGGACGUGAUUGCAUGCCAUCUUCAGUGCAGGGGUCGUCGAAAGCCAAAAUUGUGACCGAUCUGAUCAGGAAGCUCCAAGCGUAUCUGGAGAACAACACACGACAGGAUGAUAACCUUAUAGUGUCGUCUUAAAUAGCACCAGCUGACAAAGCUUUGAUAUGCCAUUUAUCUGAAUAGAUAGCUGUAAGAAAUGAAUUGAACAAUUUUUGAAACAAGAGCACAAUAUGGUUACUAAAGUAUGUUUAUUUGUAUAUUGUUUAACAUUUAAAUAUAUAUUUGUAAUAAAUAAAAAAAACUUUUGACUGACUAUUAUAUUUUCUUUAAAGUUGCAUCUUUUGUUCUUUUGGGUACUUUGUUACUAUAAUGAUACUUUAGUGUUAUUGGUUUAAAAAUGUAAUAAAACUUACUCUAGUCCUGCACCUCAAAGGCUUAUAGUCGGUACAAUAAAUGUUCUGUGUGUAGGGAUUUAGACAAU